UACGAAGGGGGCUAGCGUUGCUCGGAAUUACUGGGCGUAAAGGGCGCGUAGGCGGAUAGUUUAGUCAGAGGUGAAAGCCCAGGGCUUAACCCUGGAAUUGCCUUUGAUACUGGCUAUCUUGAGUUCGGGAGAGGUGAGUGGAACUGCGAGUGUAGAGGUGAAAUUCGUAGAUAUUCGCAAGAACACCAGUGGCGAAGGCGGCUCACUGGCCCGAUACUGACGCUGAGGCACGAAAGCGUGGGGAGCAAACAGG
rnacentral:rRNA from 1 species